rnacentral:rRNA from 1 species
GACAGAGGGUGCAAACGUUGCUCGGAAUCACUGGGCGUAAAGGGCGUGUAGGCGGGAAGGAAAGUCAGAUGUGAAAUCCCUGGGCUCAACCCAGGAACUGCAUUUGAAACUCCCCUUUCUUGAGUGUCGGAGAGGAAAGCGGAAUUCCUGGUGUAGAGGUGAAAUUCGUAGAUAUCAGGAGGAACACCGAUGGCGAAGGCGGCUUUCUGGACGACAACU